AGGCGGGCGAGGCCGCGCUCCGGAGCCGGAGUCCUCUCUCGGAGCCGCGUCGCGCUGGGGCGGGGUCCUGGCCGGGUCGGGGGUCGCCAGGCCGUUCUGCUCCUGCGUGCUGCUCCCUCGGGCCGGGCCGCUGCGGGGCCGCGCUCCCGCGUGCUCCUGCCGGCUCCGCGCGCCUCCGCUCCCGCACCCGCUCCGAACUAGCGCACGGGGAGGGCGGGGCUUCCGUUCGUCCCACCCUCCUCAAGACCGGAGCGCGGGGCGGGGCCUGGCACGCCCACCUGGCUGCGGCUGAGCGCCGCCACCUGCGGGAUGCUCCCCAUCGCCUCCACCUGCGGCUAAGGUUCCAGGCCGAAGCCUGGCCCUGAAGCUCUUUGGAAGUGGUCCGCUGAACUGUGGGCCUUGAGGGGCUCUAUUUCCCCGGAGAUGGCAGGCCACAAACAACGUGACUUAGCCAGAGCUCCAAAUCCAAGAACCUAUGCCAAGACAAAACAGACAACCCCCAGGGUAUCCUACCCUAAGAGCCCAAGCAUGGCUGCAAAAUUGGAGUGUCUUCCUGGCCUUUCUGUACUGCCAGGAUAUGGGAAAACCUCACUAUCAUCCACGGAGGUUGGUACCAGUAAGCACUGUGUCCCUUUUUUCGAUUGAGCAAAUCCAGAUCUCAAUGACAGAUGUCCUUCGCCCUGAUCAGUGGCAUGGUGGCUGGCCCAAGCCUGUAAUCCCAACGCCAGGGGGAGGAGGCAGGAGGAUACUUGAGCAGGGAGUUGGACCACGUGGCAACAAAGGAACCAGGAACCGUCUCAAAAUUAAAUGAUAGAAAUAGAAAGGAGUUCUCGGUCCUAAGUCUCAGAGGUUCCCAAGACGGUCCUAAGAUGCAGACCGGAAGAGGUUUCCAGAAGUCCCUUGACUUACCAUAUUGACUGAUGGUCAUCUUUCUCCACCCUCAACACCACCACCCCCAGCUUCUCUCUCAACCCCCAGAGCUACUCAACUCCCACAGACAAGCCCCUCCCCCGAGCAUCUCUGAACCUGACUGCAAGGGUAACAGAAGACUGACCUGACUGAUUUCUGAGCCCAUGCUAGGCACCCGCCUGAACCCACAUCUCACCUGCGUUCACUCGUUGUGAGACACAUCAUUGGGCCCGCUUUACCUGAAGGAAACAGCACAAAGGAAGGUACCCGCAUGUUCUGAUCUCUUGGCUCACCCUGAUGGUAUGGCACCCUGUCAAAAAUGCACGUUACAAAUGUGAACGGAUGCCCAACGGUUGCAGCCUUUGACGCCAGCAACUCAUAAGACAUAAAAGCCAACAGAGGCAACACAUCCUUCACGAUUCAAAGGAAGCAAGUGCUGACAGAACCGUUACCCAGUGACAGGACUUCCCUGGUCCUGCUAGGAGCUGGCAGUGGGCGCAGCUACCAGUCAAAAGUAACUCUAAAAGGCUGAUAUUCAUAUCUCUUCCUAGCUGAGUUGGGUGAGAGCACUGUCUGCCUCCUUAAAGGGGGGAAUGCUGCGACUACUUCUACAUUACAAAAACUGAGCCAUCUAAAGUCAGGACUCUGACUAUACCCAGAGACCCAUGAGUUAAACCAUGUGCUUGGUCCUGGGCUAGGCAUUUGCCAGGUGCCUGUUAAUUUGUAUUAUCUCAUUUCUCAUCUACCUUGGGAGUCAGGGGUGAAAGCAAAGCCCAUUCAAGUCAGAAGCAGAGCACAGGUGCCAGCUCUGCAGGUCUGAGUGUCUCUGGGGAUGGGGACCCAAGCUGCACCUCCCUCCCAGGCUGGGGCAGAAUGUAGGUGAGGACAUUUGCAUCUUCACUAAGGAGCCUAAAGAGCCCAGAAUUGCCUCUCCUAACCUGAGCGGACUGCAAACUGAAAUUUCUCCUGGACAGGGUUUAUCCAGCAAAGGCCCUCUGGGUCCUGGCAUGUGAAUGGAGGCUAUAUGCAGGGCCUGUGUAAGAGAAAUCAUGACAGAAGGAUCUCAGCAUGCUAGUCUGUCUGUCCCCUGCUUCCAAGAGGACACAGUGACAGCCUGUGGCAUAUAACUGCUGAGUGAUUAGUGAUGAAAGCAGCCAGCCACUUAUAACACCCAGCAGAAGUGUGGUGGUGCACACCUCUAACCCUAGCACUCAGGAGGCAGAGGCCAGCCUGGGCUACCCAGAGAGACCUUGGCCAUACCUACAGCUAUUGUCCACACAUGCUCAUAUGUGUUUGUGAAGAAUUAUGACCCUACCCACAAAACUGGGGCACAAUCCAGGCUGAGAUGGAUCUCAGAGAGCCUGUGCCUGACUGGGCACCAUGUGCUUUAUAACUAACUUCCUGGGGAUGUUUUCCCACAGCCCCACUUACAUACCUCCUAUGGUGAACUUGCUCCCAAUGCCAGCCCUUGGAGUCCACAGCUAUGAAAUUACUGGAUAAAGCCAUUGAUCUCUUUGCAAGGAAUCUCAGACUAGAAUCACUAACAGCCCCUUGGAAUUCCAACAAUUAGAAUCAAGGGCUCCUUUGUAUCGAAUUUAGAAGCCAAGGACCCACUCUGUAACCUUCUUCAGGUCCCUGGACAUCUCUGAGUCUGUCACCCUGAUCCUACACUUUCCACUGCAUGGCUAGAUUUCCUAAGGCUCACAAGCCAAGGCUGUGGGAGCAUGCUCUGCAAAAACACCAACCCAAGGGACUAGAAACAGCAUCCGCUUCUGAUGCUCAAUAGAACUGUAUCUAGGGUUAACGUCCACUUGGAGAUGUGGAUGCAGAGGCUGAAUCCAGGCAGUAUUCCACCGUUAGUGACUGCUCAAGAUCCAAAAAAGAGGAUAGUGACUCCUAUCUGCAGUUCUCAUCUUAGCCUCGUAGGCCCAUCUUGUGACAAGAGUCACUAAGGUCAGAUUCCUGAAGAGACAUCUGCUCCAUGCAGAGGACAUGCAAUUUGCUUGCCUAUGGAUGGGUACAGCAGUCAUGUCCUACAGUCUCAGCACACAGAGCUCUUCUUGGGAAGCCUUGGGAAGAGGACUAUGCAGAGGGACCUCACUACAACUACCUGCACCUGACAGCAGUACCUGGAGAUUGCAGGCUCAGUUCAAAGUGCCUUUGCCUAUCUCCGGAAGCACCUGGCUCACUCAGCUUAAGAAUUGUGAACACGGACACCUUUGCAGACACCAACGGCCUCCUAUGCACCUGACCCCAGAACUCACACAAACAAAUAAAUGGGUCCCAUGACUAA